UGGGGAAUAUUGCACAAUGGGGGAAACCCUGAUGCAGCGACGCCGCGUGAGCGAAGAAGGCUUUCGAGUCGUAAAGCUCUGUCCUAUGAGAAGAUAAUGACGGUAUCAUAGGAGGAAGCCCCGGCUAAUUACGUGCCAGCAGCCGCGGUAAUACGUAAGGGGCGAGCGUUGUCCGGAAUUAUUGGGCGUAAAGAGUGCGUAGGUGGUUUAGAAAGUCUGAUGUGAAAGCCCACGGCUCAACCGUGGAGGGUCAUUGGAAACUAAUAAACUUGAGUGCAGGAGAGAAAAGUGGAAUUCCUAGUGUAGCGGUGAAAUGCGUAGAGAUUAGGAGGAACACCGGUGGCGAAAGCGGCUUUUUGGCCUGCAACUGACACUGAGGCGCGAAAGCGUGGGGAGCAAACAGG
rnacentral:rRNA from 1 species